UCGUUUUUAAGGUUAGGUCUCAGGGGUCCCUGAGCCACUUUUAUCCACACUAUAAAUACUUGCCGGGAGUUGCAUUGCUACGUUGGCUUUAGAGAAGCGUGUGUUUGAUUUUAGAUUAAGUCAUAUGUAAUCUACGGAGUGAUAAAGUCUAAUCAAAUAAGUAGAGAGGCUCGUGCAAUUGUGUUUUGUUCAUUGCUUGUUUUGAGCGGAGGAGUGGCUUAUCUUUGCGAUAUUGGAUAGUAUUAGGGGAAAGUAGUGUCCAGAAAAUUCUACACGCUUUUAUGACAUAACCAGCCCGACUAACAAAUAUUCUAAUUCAGGAAGUAGGCUUGAAUUGUGUGGUGAAUGCGCAUAUUUGAGAUACAAUCAUAAUAACACCAUUAUGUCCGAGCUGCGUCCAGUGUUAUUAAAAAUUCAAAUUUGGGGAAAGUUGAGUUUGUUCUCCUUAAAUAAAACAGUGUUUUGAUAAUAACCACCGACGUAAGUAUAUCGUAGACACUCGCUUCACUUCCUUCUAGUUAGCACAAGACCUUCCUCCCCUAGUUCUAGUAGUGUGUCUGACCCCUGUUUGCUCAAGUACCAUCACUGCACCGUCUUAUUUAUAA